CUGUGGGGUGCCGUUACCCAGAGUGCUGCGCGGCGCGGGCAGAGUGAAUGAGCCAACAUUACAUAUUCUGUGGGUGGGAGACAGCUCACUGAUGAGAAAACACAGACUUGGAAAAAGUGCUGCCUCAGUGCUCUGUUUGGAGCAGGGUGAUGGGUACAGGUCCUGAAUACAGGUCUUGGGACACCAUGCUGGUAGCUGUGUGCUCAGUCCAUGCUGGUCACAUCAAGGUGGUAGGCAUUGUAUAGUAAAUAAACAAGCAGG